GAGAGAAACUAAACUGCGCUAAUGAACAAUGUUAUGUACUUGAGUACGAAAGUCCCGGUUUACUAAAGAAAUACGUUCAUGAGAAUAUCUGCAAAUCGUUUUGAUAGCGCUUGUUUGAUGCAAGAAGAUGAGCUAAUGUUAAUCUUCACAUGACGAUAGAAGAGGGAAAGAUAGACUCUAGGAGAUGGAUUCUAGAGCCGGAAGAAACAUUUUCUUUCAUUCUGAUUAUGCUAAAGCACUCGAGAGUAUCUGUUUAAAGAAUAGAUGCCUUCAUGGAGGACAUGUUAGGAGAACUGUAUCGAGUUCACGUUAUCCAUGCAGAAAAUCGAUAAACCUCCCAUGCAGUCAGUAAUGUAGACGAAAUUUGGUAUCGGAUUGAAUAGCUGAUGUUCAGCAGCUUUAACACUCAGCUGAUGUUCAGAAGCCUUAACACUCAGCUGCUGGAGAGCCUGCUGAAAGCGAAAAGAAAUAAAGUUUCCCAUGUUUAGAACACUAAGGAAAUCAGAAAUGUUCCAAAAUAUCUACUGUUUACACGUAAUAAUGAUACAUUACUUUUAAAAUGUUUUUAUCGGAUUUCAUUUAUUUUGAAAAAUCAGUCCUUCUCAAAUACUUGAAAUAAAUGAGCUAUGAACUGAACCUUCAAAAAUAAAUAAUUCAAAUUAUUUU